UACGUAGGGACCAAGCGUUGUUCGGAUUUACUGGGCGUAAAGGGCGCGUAGGCGGCAAUUCAAGUCAGCUGUGAAAUCUCCGGGCUUAACUCGGAACGGUCAGCUGAUACUGCUUUGCUAGAGUGCAGAAGGGGCAAUCGGAAUUCUUGGUGUAGCGGUGAAAUGCGUAGAUAUCGGAAGGAACAUCAGUGGCGAAAGCGGCUUCCUGGACCAGAACUGACGAUCAGGCUCGAAAGCGUGGGGAGCAAACAGG
rnacentral:rRNA from 1 species